GACGAACCGUACGAACGUUAUUCGGAAUCACUGGGCUUAAAGGGUGCGUAGGCGGCGCGGAAAGUAGGGUGUGAAAUCCCUCGGCUCAACCGAGGAAUUGCGCCCUAAACUACCGUGCUUGAGGGAGAUAGAGGUGAGCGGAACUUAGGGUGGAGCGGUGAAAUGCGUUGAUAUCCUAAGGAACACCGGUGGCGAAAGCGGCUCACUGGAUCUCUCUGACGCUGAGGCACGAAAGCUAGGGUA
rnacentral:rRNA from 1 species